rnacentral:rRNA from 1 species
CGUGGGUAACCUGCCCAAGAGACUGGGAUAACACCUGGAAACAGAUGCUAAUACCGGAUAACAACACUAGACGCAUGUCUAGAGUUUAAAAGAUGGUUCUGCUAUCACUCUUGGAUGGACCUGCGGUGCAUUAGCUAGUUGGUAAGGUAACGGCUUACCAAGGCAAUGAUGCAUAGCCGAGUUAAGAGACUGAUCGGCCACAUUGGGACUGAGACACGGCCCAAACUCCUACGGGAGGCAGCAG